rnacentral:rRNA from 1 species
GCAUAUCAAUAAGCGGAGGAAAAGAAACCAACAGGGAUUGCCCUAGUAACGGCGAGUGAAGCGGCAACAGCUCAAAUUUGAAAUCUGGCUCUUUUAGAGUCCGAGUUGUAAUUUGCAGAGGGCGCUUUGGCUUUGGCAGCGGUCCAAGUUCCUUGGAACAGGACGUCACAGAGGGUGAGAAUCCCGUACGUGGUCGCUGGCUAUUGCCGUGUAAAGCCCCUUCGACGAGUCGAGUUGUUUGGGAAUGCAGCUCUAAAUGGGAGGUACAUUUCUUCUAAAGCUAAAUAUUGGCCAGAGACCGAUAGCGCACAAGUAGAGUGAUCGAAAGAUGAAAAGCACUUUGGAAAGAGAGUCAAACAGCACGUGAAAUUGUUAAAAGGGAAGCGCUUGCAGCCAGACUUGCUUGCAGUUGCUCAUCCGGGCUUUUGCCCGGUGCACUCUUCUGUAGGCAGGCCAGCAUCAGUUUGGGCGGUAGGAUAAAGGUCUCUGUCACGUACCUCCUUUCGGGGAGGCCUUAUAGGGGAGACGACAUACUACCAGCCUGGACUGAGGUCCGCGCAUCUGCUAGGAUGCUGGCGUAAUGGCUGUAAGCGGCCCGUCUUGAAACACGGACCAAGGAGUCUAACAUCUAUGCGAGUGUUUGGGUGUCAAGCCCGAGCGCGUAAUGAAAGUGAACGGAGGUGGGAACCCGCAAGGGUGCACCAUCGACCGAUCCUGAUGUCUUCGGAAGGAUUUGAGUAAGAGCAUGGCUGUUGGGACCCGAAAGAUGGUGAACUAUGCUUGAAUAGGGUGAAGCCAGAGGAAACUCUGGUGGAGGCUCGCAGCGGUUCUGACGUGCAAAUCGAUCGUCAAAUUUGGGCAUAGGGGCGAAAGACUAAUCGAACUAUCUAGUAGCUGGUUCUGC